rnacentral:rRNA from 1 species
GAUGAACGCUGGCGGCGUGCUUAACACAUGCAAGUCGAACGAAGAAGCCCAGCUUGCUGGGUGCUUUAGUGGCCAACGGGUGAGUAACUCGUGAGUAACCUGCCCUUAUAUCUGGGAUAGGCCUCUUAAACUGGGCCUAAUUCCGGACAGGAGCGUUCUCCACAUGGAGGGUGUUGGAGAGAUUUACCGGUUUUGGAUGGACUCGCGGCCUAUCAGCUUGUCGGUGAGGUAUUGGCUCACUAAGGCGUCGACGGGUAGCCGGCCUGGGAAGGUGACCGGCCACACUGGGACUGAGACACGGCCCAGACUCGUACGGGAGGCAGCAGUGGGGAAUAUUGCACAAUGGGCGCAAGCCUGAUGCAGCGACGCCGCGUGCGGGAUGACGGCCUUCGGGUUGUAAACCUCUUUCAGUAGGGAAGAAGCGAAAGUGACGGUACCUGCAGAAGAAGCACCGGCUAACUACGUG